AACGAACGCUGGCGGCGUGCCUAACACAUGCAAGUCGAACGGGAAAGCCCGCAAGGGUGAGUACAGUGGCGCACGGGUGCGUAACACGUGGGUAAUCUGCCCAGAAGCCCGGAAUAACUCCCCGAAAGGGGUGCUAAUGCCGGAUGAGACCACGGGGACCUCGGUCCCUGGGGGAAAAGGUGGCCUCUGUAUACAAGCUAUCACUUCUGGAUGAGCGCGCGGCCCAUCAGCUAGUUGGCGGGGUAAUGGCCCACCAAGGCUACGACGGGUAGCUGGUCUGAGAGGACGAUCAGCCACACUGGAACUGAGACACGGUCCAGACUCCUACGGGAGGCAGCAGUGGGGAAUCUUGCGCAAUGGGCGAAAGCCUGACGCAGCAACGCCGCGUGUGUGAUGAAGGUCUUCGGAUCGUAAAGCACUGUCGGGAGGGACGAAUAAGGGCCGGGUGAACAAUCCGGUCCGACGACGGUACCUCCAGAGGAAGCACCGGCUAACUCUGUGCCAGCCGCCGCGGUAA
rnacentral:rRNA from 1 species